AAGAUAUCAGGGAUCUCAGAGAACAAAGUAAGAUAAAGGCUAAUGACACUGCCUAGGGAUCGUAGAAGAGCUGAAAAUAAUGUUUUAUAUUUAAAAAGAAUGGCCUGCAGACAACCUGGACACAUAGAAGGCAUCCAUCUGCAUUUAAAGAAGCUCACAGACACGGCUGAUUGAUUCUGCGACCUUGCUUUGUUACUCAUCUCUGAGGUUAGCGGCUUCACUGCCAGGGACCUUGUCCAGAGUUUCUGAGGCCUCCAACAGCCUGUGGUCUCCUGGUCACGCAGACCCUGCCGGUGGCUUCAGUGACUGGAUCUUGCUGAUGUUUGAACUGCCUUUAGCUGUCUGUGAAGGGCAUGCUGGUGAGGCCACGGAGCAGGAAACCAUGACAAACAACAGAACUACAGUCUGGUUAAAAAAGAAAAUAUACAUAUGCACAUAUGUAUAUUCCCCUACCCCAGGGGUUGAGGCUUUUUUGGCAUAAAUUUACAUAUAUUUUGGCACAAAUUUGCAUACUAAGUUCCUAAGUCUCUACUUCCAAAUAGAGUUACAUGAGAACCUCUCAUUUAUGGCAUUAACAUUCGUAUUGUUCCCCUUAGACCCAUGUCACUGGCUCUUACUAAUAUACUGAGUUUCACCAGUUUGUCCUCCAUUUCCUAGAAUUUGUUCUAAUUUUUAGGAAAUGCUUACUAAAUAUCACUACUGUGUGUUGUGAAAUCCAGCCCUGAAGGACAUCAAAAGGUCUCUUGUUAGCUGGUAGCUAUUGUUAGGUAUUGUCUGUAGAGACAUCGGGUCUCCUGGAAACAUACCAUAGGCUGUCCAAAAGUAUUAAUUAUUAACUUGGGCCUUUAAUUGUAUUUAUAUGAAUUAGAAUAUUAUGUUUGUAUGUAGAGAAAAGAGAUUAUAUCUAAGCAUUAUAACUGUGUAUAAAAAGGAUUUUACCAAGAGUACUGGAAGGUGCAUUAUAGUUACUCUCAAAUGUAAUAUUAGGGAUUUAUAUUUACAUAUAUUUGAGACAGGGUCUCGCUCUGCCCAGGCUGGAGUGC